GAGGAACGCGGGCGGCGUGCUUAACACAUGCAAGUCGAACGAUGAAGCCCAGCUUGCUGGGUGGAUUAGUGGCGAACGGGUGAGUAACACGUGAGUAACCUGCCCUUAACUCUGGGAUAAGCCUGGGAAACUGGGUCUAAUACCGGAUAGGAGCGUCCACCGCAUGGUGGGUGUUGGAAAGAUUUAUCGGUUUUGGAUGGACUCGCGGCCUAUCAGCUUGUUGGUGAGGUAAUGGCUCACCAAGGCGACGACGGGUAGCCGGCCUGAGAGGGUGACCGGCCACACUGGGACUGAGACACGGCCCAGACUCCUACGGGAGGCAGCAGUGGGGAAUAUUGCACAAUGGGCGCAAGCCUGAUGCAGCGACGCCGCGUGAGGGAUGACGGCCUUCGGGUUGUAAACCUCUUUCAGUAGGGAAGGAGCGAAAGUGACGGUACCUGCAGAAGAAGCACCGGCUAACUACGUG
rnacentral:rRNA from 1 species